rnacentral:rRNA from 1 species
GUGAACGCUUGCGGUAGGCCUAACACAUGCAAGUCGAACGGCAGCACAGUAAGAGCUUGCUCUUACGGGUGGCGAGUGGCGGACGGGUGAGGAAUACAUCGGAAUCUACUUUUUCGUGGGGGAUAACGUAGGGAAACUUACGCUAAUACCGCAUACUACCUACGGGUGAAAGCAGGGGAUCUUCGGACCUUUCGCGAUUGAAUGAGCCGAUGUCGGAUUAGCUAGUUGGCGGGGUAAAGGCCCACCAAGGCGACGAUCCGUAGCUGGUCUGAGAGGAUGAUCAGCCACACUGGAACUGAGACACGGUCCAGACUCCUACGGGAGGCAGCAGUGGGGAAUAUUGGACAAUGGGCGCAAGCCUGAUCCAGCCAUACCGCGUGGGUGAAGAAGGCCUUCGGGUUGUAAAGCCCUUUUGUUGGGAAAGAAAAGCAGCAGGUUAAUACCCCGCUGUUCUGACGGUACCCAAAGAAUAAGCACCGGCUAACUUCGUG